rnacentral:misc_RNA from 1 species
CCGAGUUGUAACACUCACAAACCCACUGCAAACGUACCCAUUUUGGCGACUCCGGCAGGUGGCCCCAGGGCGGGGCCUCAGCCUCUUCAGGCGCCUGCCGAAGGUGCCGCAAUUUUACUCUGUAAAUCAUGUAUUCUGAGUCCUGAGACAAAAUAUCA